GGUGGGGUGGCGGAGCGGUUACGCGUGCGCCUGCAGAGCGCAUUCACAUGGGUCCGAAAGCUGGUGCUCAGAAAGUGGGCAUCGCCGGGGCUCCCAUCCCCACCU
rnacentral:tRNA from 1 species